AACGAACGCUGGCGGCAUGCCUAACACAUGCAAGUCGAACGAGACCUUCGGGUCUAGUGGCGCACGGGUGCGUAACGCGUGGGAACCUGCCCUUAGGUUCGGAAUAACUCAGAGAAAUUUGAGCUAAUACCGGAUAAUGUCUUCGGACCAAAGAUUUAUCGUCUUUGGAUGGGCCCGCGUAGGAUUAGCUUGUUGGUGGGGUAAUGGCCUACCAAGGCGACGAUCCUUAGCUGGUCUGAGAGGAUGAUCAGCCACACUGGGACUGAGACACGGCCCAGACUCCUACGGGAGGCAGCAGUGGGGAAUAUUGGACAAUGGGCGAAAGCCUGAUCCAGCAAUGCCGCGUGAGUGAUGAAGGCCUUAGGGUUGUAAAGCUCUUUUACCAGGGAUGAUAAUGACAGUACCUGGAGAAUAAGCUCCGGCUAACUCCGUG
rnacentral:rRNA from 1 species